UCGGCCCUGCAGGGUCGGACGAUUCGCGGCCUAUCAGCUUGUUGGUGAGGUAACGGCUCACCAAGGCAACGACGGGUAGCUGGUCUGAGAGGACGAUCAGCCACACUGGGACUGAGACACGGCCCAGACUCCUACGGGAGGCAGCAGCAGGGAAUAUUGCACAAUGGGCGAAAGCCUGAUGCAGCGACGCCGCGUGAGGGAUGACGGCCUUCGGGUUGUAAACCUCUUUCAGGAGGGAAGAAGCGAAAGUGACGGUACCUCCACAAGAAGCCCCGGCCAACUACGUGCCAGCAGCCGCGGUAAUACGUAGGGGGCAAGCGUUGUCCGGAUUCAUUGGGCGUAAAGAGCUCGUAGGCGGCUCAGCAAGUCGGUCGUGAAAGCCCGGGGCUCAACCCCGGGACGCCGAUCGAAACUGCUGUGGCUAGGGUCCGGUAGAGGAGAGUGGAAUUCCCGGUGUAGCGGUGAAAUGCGCAGAUAUCGGGAGGAACACCAGUAGCGAAGGCGGCUCUCUGGGCCGGCACCGACGCUGAGGAGCGAAAGCUAGGGGAGCAAACAGGAUUAGAUACCCUGGUAGUCCUAGCCGUAAACGUUGGGCACUAGGUGUGGCGGACUCAUUGACGUCUGCCGUGCCGAAGCAAACGCAUUAAGUGCCCCGCCUGGGGAGUACGGAAU
rnacentral:rRNA from 1 species